rnacentral:rRNA from 1 species
UACGGAGGGUGCAAGCGUUAAUCGGAAUUACUGGGCGUAAAGCGCACGUAGGUGGUUUGUUAAGCUAGAUGUGAAAGCCCCGGGCUCAACCUGGGAAUUGCAUUUAGAACUGGCAAGCUAGAGUAGGGUAGAGGGGUGUGGAAUUCCAGGUGGAGCGGUGAAAUGCGUAGAGAUCAGGAGGAACAUCAGUGGCGAAGGCAGCACCCUGGACUCAUACUGACGCUGAGGUGCGAAAGCGAGGGGAGCAAACAGG